rnacentral:rRNA from 1 species
AGACGUCAAUCAUCAUGCCCCUUAUGUCCUGGGCUACACACGUAAUACAAUGGCGGUCAACAGAGGGAUGCAAAGCCGCGAGGUGGAGCGAACCCCUAAAAGCCGUCUCAGUUCGGAUUGUGGGCUGCAACCCGCCUGCAUGAAGUCGGAAUCGCUAGUAAUCGCGGAUCAGCAUGCCGCGGUGAAUACGUUCCCGGGCCUUGUACACACCGCCCGUCACACCAUGAGAGUCGGGAACACCCGAAGUCCGUAGCCUAACCGCAAGGAGGGCGCGGCCGAAGGUGGGUUCGAUAAUUGGGGUGAAGUCGUAACAAGGGUAACCGUA